CAAAAACAUGUCUUUUUGAUUAUAAUUUAAAGUCUAACCUGCCCAAUGAGGAGUUAAAUGGCCGCGGUAUACUGACCGUGCAAAGGUAGCAUAAUCAUUAGUUUUUUAAUUGAAAGCUGGUAUGAAUGGUUGGACGAGAAAAUAACUGUCUCAAUUUAAAUUGAAUUAGAAUUUUAUUUAUGAGUAAAAAAGCUCAUAUAAGUUUAAAAGACGAGAAGACCCUAUAGAAUUUAAUAUAUGUAUAUAUAUAUUAUUUUUAGAAUUAAUAAUAAGGUAUAUGUAAUUAUAUUUUGUUGGGGUGAUAGAAAAAUUAAAAUAACUUUUUUUAUAUAAAAACAUUAAUGUAUGAGAAAAUGAUCCGUUAAUUACGAUUAUAAGAUUAAAUUACCUUAGGGAUAACAGCGUAAUUUUUUUUUAGAGUUCUUAUCGAAAAAAGAGUUUGCGACCUCGAUGUUGGAUUAAAAUUAACUUUUGGUGUAGGGGCU
rnacentral:rRNA from 1 species